rnacentral:rRNA from 1 species
AGAGUUUGAUCCUGGCUCAGGAUGAACGCUGGCGGCGUGCCUAAUACAUGCAAGUCGAGCGAACGGACGAGAAGCUUGCUUCUCUGAUGUUAGCGGCGGACGGGUGAGUAACACGUGGAUAACCUACCUAUAAGACUGGGAUAACUUCGGGAAACCGGAGCUAAUACCGGAUAAUAUUUUGAACCGCAUGGUUCAAAAGUGAAAGACGGUCUUGCUGUCACUUAUAGAUGGAUCCGCGCUGCAUUAGCUAGUUGGUAAGGUAAUGGCUUACCAAGGCAACGAUGCAUAGCCGACCUGAGAGGGUGAUCGGCCACACUGGAACUGAGACACGGUCCAGACUCCUACGGGAGGCAGCAGUAGGGAAUCUUCCGCAAUGGGCGAAAGCCUGACGGAGCAACGCCGCGUGAGUGAUGAAGGUCUUCGGAUCGUAAAACUCUGUUAUUAGGGAAGAAGAUAUGUGUAAGUAACUGUGCACAUCUUGACGGUACCUAAUCAGAAAGCCACGGCUAACUACGUGCCAGCAGCCGCGGUAAUACGUAGGUGGCAAGCGUUAUCCGGAAUUAUUGGGCGUAAAGCGCGCGUAGGCGGUUUUUUAAGUCUGAUGUGAAAGCCCACGGCUCAACCGUGGAGGGUCAUUGGAAACUGGAAAACUUGAGUGCAGAAGAGGAAAGUGGAAUUCCAUGUGUAGCGGUGAAAUGCGCAGAGAUAUGGAGGAACACCAGUGGCGAAGGCGACUUUCUGGUCUGUAACUGACGCUGAUGUGCGAAAGCGUGGGGAUCAAACAGGAUUAGAUACCCUGGUAGUCCACGCCGUAAACGAUGAGUGCUAAGUGUUAGGGGGUUUCCGCCCCUUAGUGCUGCAGCUAACGCAUUAAGCACUCCGCCUGGGGAGUACGACCGCAAGGUUGAAACUCAAAGGAAUUGACGGGGACCCGCACAAGCGGUGGAGCAUGUGGUUUAAUUCGAAGCAACGCGAAGAACCUUACCAAAUCUUGACAUCCUUUGACAACUCUAGAGAUAGAGCCUUCCCCUUCGGGGGACAAAGUGACAGGUGGUGCAUGGUUGUCGUCAGCUCGUGUCGUGAGAUGUUGGGUUAAGUCCCGCAACGAGCGCAACCCUUAAGCUUAGUUGCCAUCAUUAAGUUGGGCACUCUAAGUUGACUGCCGGUGACAAACCGGAGGAAGGUGGGGAUGACGUCAAAUCAUCAUGCCCCUUAUGAUUUGGGCUACACACGUGCUACAAUGGACAAUACAAAGGGCAGCGAAACCGCGAGGUCAAGCAAAUCCCAUAAAGUUGUUCUCAGUUCGGAUUGUAGUCUGCAACUCGACUACAUGAAGCUGGAAUCGCUAGUAAUCGUAGAUCAGCAUGCUACGGUGAAUACGUUCCCGGGUCUUGUACACACCGCCCGUCACACCACGAGAGUUUGUAACACCCGAAGCCGGUGGAGUAACCUUUUAGGAGCUAGCCGUCGAAGGUGGGACAAAUGAUUGGGGUGAAGUCGUAACAAGGUA